CGGAGAAGAACAUCGUCACUGAGCACUGAGACUCAGGAUUUAUCUGGAUCUGUGUGGAGAAGAAACUAUAGAGCCGAGAAAUUUACAUUUAUACAACUUUACAGAACCGCGCAAUGAUGAAAAUCCUGAUUUUCCUCGCGUUUUGUGUUCAUCUGUCUGCAGCAGAUACACACUCUUACCAGUACUUCGAGACUGGAGUCACAUCAGGAAUAAAUUUCCCACAAUUCACUGUUGUUGGUCUUCUGGAUGGAGUGGAAUUUGAGUAUUAUGACAGCAACAUCAGAAAGUACAUCCCAAAGACUGAGUGGAUGGAGAAGAAUGAAGAACCUGGUUACUGGAGCAGAUACACACAGAUUGCGCAGGGUACUGAGGAGAUCUACAAAGAUGAUGUGGCUAAAUUAAUGCAGCGCUUUAAUCACACUACAGGAGUUCACACAGUGCAGAGUAUGUACAGUUGUGAGCGUGAUGAUGACGGCACCAUUAGAGGAUACUACCAGGAUAGUUAUGAUGGAGAAGAUUUCAUCAGUUUUGAUCUGAAAACUCUCACCUGGAUCGCUCCGACACCUCAAGCUCUGAUCACCAAGAACAAGUGGGAUAAUGAUCCUGGUUAUAAUAUACAGUGGAAGAACUACCUGGAGAAAGAGUGUAUCGACUGGUUAAACAGACACCUGUCUUAUGGGAGAGAGACUCUGGAGAGGAAAGUUCCUCCUACAGCGUCAGUGUUCCAGAAACACUCGUCUUCUCCAGAGCUGGUGUGUCACGCUACAGGUUUCUUCCCCAAAACAGUGAUGAUCACCUGGCAGAAGGACGGAGAGGACGUGCAUGAGGACGUGGAGCUCAGAGAGACGUUACCCAACCAGGAUGGAAGCUUCCAGAAGAGAAGCAUUCUGACAGUCUCAGCUGAGGAUCUGCAGAAACACACCUACACCUGCGUGAUUCAGCACAGCAGCUUGGAGAAGGAGAUAGUGCUGCGUGAGGAGGAUAUUCGAAUCCUGAAUCCUGGUGGAGGAUCAGGUGGAGCUCUGAUCGGUAUCAUCGUUGGUGUAGUCGCGGCUCUCCUGGUUCUCGUUGCCGUUGUUGCUGGAAUUGUGGUCUGGAAGAAGAAGAACUCUGGCUUCAAACCUGUUCCACCCAAACCCGCCUCUGAAGGAGAUUCUUCCUCCAACAACUCUUAAAGUGGACUGUGUGUGUUCCCGCUGCACUGAGAGAGAGAGAGGAGGAGAGGGAGAUGAGGACCACACACACACCCCGCUAACACGUGCACACACACACAAUCUCACACACAUACACACACACACACACAAACACACCGCUAACACAGACACACACUAACACAUAUACACACACACACACACACACACACACACACACACACACACACAUUAUUCCAGUGUGUAUCUUGGUGUAUAAUUUUUCCUGUAUUUGGAUGGAGGAUCUUUUUAGUGUGAAUCUGUUAUUGCUGUAAAAUGGGAUUAUUAGGGAUUGGGGUUAGAGGAUUAUUAUUAUUAUUAUUAUUUGCUCUGUAAAAUCUGGUAGUUUUGUGUGUGAUGGGGUUUGGUGUGUGUGUGUGUGUGUGUGUGUGUGUGUGUGUUUACCACUGUGGAGUUUGGAGUAAAGAUGGUCAGUGAUGGUGUGAUAGCGAGUCACUUUCCUUCUUCCUCUGGGAUCUCUGUUGCUCACACCUGUGAAACACACACACACAUGCAUGCAGGCAGAUUUAAACCUGUUCUGCAACAACCUCAUACACACUUCCUCUCACACACACACACGCACUCUGUGCCUGUGAUUCUGCUUUACUCAGGCUUUAGACUUUAAUUGCAUUUUAAACCGUUUUGAGCUAAAACAGUAGCAGUGUGAUUUAUUGUAGUGAAUUUUCACACACAGUUCAUGUUGGAGGAUCUUCAGAUCUGAUCCGUGUUGAACAGAUUGGACUAAAGUGUAAAAGAACAGGAAGCGGGAUCUUCAGAUGAUCUAUGUUGAACAGAUUGGACUAAAGUGUAAAAGAACAGGAAGCGGGAUCUUCAGACGCUCCGUGUUGAACAGAUUGGACUAAAGUGUAAAAGAACAGGAGUGAACACAGCAGAAGCAGGAGUUCAUGCUGAUGAUCAGCACUCAAAGCUUUUCUUUUCUCCACAUGUGGAAAACACAAAUCUACUAAAUGUCACGGCACUGACUCCAUUAUUUAUUCCUGAACUCAGUUUAAAGCAAAAAAACAAUCCAUUCAACACGUUUUCACAUUUGUACGACCCAAAUCUCUCCCACAAUCCCUCUGUUCUGUCUGUAACAAUCUGAACCAACAAUAAAGUCUAUUUUCUUCA